GACGAACGCUGGCGGCGUGCUUAACACAUGCAAGUCGAACGGAAAGACCCUGCUUUUGUGGGGUGCUCGAGUGGCGAACGGGUGAGUAACACGUGAGUAACCUGCCCUUGACUUUGGGAUAACUUCAGGAAACUGGGGCUAAUACCGGAUAGGAGCUCCUGCUGCAUGGUGGGGGUUGGAAAGUUUCGGCGGUUGGGGAUGGACUCGCGGCUUAUCAGCUUGUUGGUGGGGUAGUGGCUUACCAAGGCUUUGACGGGUAGCCGGCCUGAGAGGGUGACCGGCCACAUUGGGACUGAGAUACGGCCCAGACUCCUACGGGAGGCAGCAGUGGGGAAUAUUGCGCAAUGGGCGGAAGCCUGAUGCAGCAACGCCGCGUGCGGGAUGACGGCCUUCGGGUUGUAAACCGCUUUCGCCUGUGACGAAGCGUGAGUGACGGUAAUGGGUAAAGAAGCACCGGCUAACUACGUG
rnacentral:rRNA from 1 species